GAUGAACGCUGGCGGCGUGCCUAACACAUGCAAGUCGAGCGAUUCUCUUCGGAGAAGAGCGGCGGACGGGUGAGUAACGCGUGGGUAACCUGCCCUGUACACACGGAUAACAUACCGAAAGGUAUGCUAAUACGAGAUAAUAUACUUUUAUCGCAUGGUAGAAGUAUCAAAGCUCCGGCGGUACAGGAUGGACCCGCGUCUGAUUAGCUAGUUGGUAAGGUAACGGCUUACCAAGGCGACGAUCAGUAGCCGACCUGAGAGGGUGAUCGGCCACAUUGGAACUGAGACACGGUCCAAACUCCUACGGGAGGCAGCAGUGGGGAAUAUUGGACAAUGGGCGCAAGCCUGAUCCAGCCAUGCCGCGUGAGUGAAGAAGGCCUCGG
rnacentral:rRNA from 1 species